AACGAACGCUGGCGGCAUGCCUAACACAUGCAAGUCGAACGAGACCUUCGGGUCUAGUGGCGCACGGGUGCGUAACGCGGGGGAACUUGCCCGUAGGUUCGGAAUAACUCACCGAAAGGGGUGCUAAUACCGGAGAAUGUCAUCGGACCAAAGAGCUAGCGCUUCGGGAUGGGCGCGCGGUUGAUUAGCUAGUUGGUAGGGUAGAAGCCUAACAACGCGACGAUGGAUAGAUGGUCGGUGAGGAUGAUCGGCCACACUGGCACUGGGACACGGCCCAGACGCCUACGCGCGGCAGCAGGGGGGAAUGUGGCAAAAUGGGCGGAAGCGUGAUGCAGCAACCCCGCGUUCGGGAUGACGGCAUUCGGGCUGUAGAGUGCUAUCGCCUUUUACCCAGCGUGAGUAACGGUAAUGGGGAAAGAAGCACCGGCUAACUACGUG
rnacentral:rRNA from 1 species